UGCAGUCGAGCGGAUCUUUUCCUUCGGGGAAAGAUUAGCGGCGGACGGGUGAGUAACACGUGGGUAACCUGCCCAUAAGACUGGGAUAACAUUCGGAAACGAAUGCUAAUACCGGAUACGCGAAUUGGUCGCAUGGCCGAAUCGGGAAAGGCGGAGCAAUCUGCCACUUAUGGAUGGACCCGCGGCGCAUUAGCUAGUUGGUGAGGUAACGGCUCACCAAGGCGACGAUGCGUAGCCGACCUGAGAGGGUGAUCGGCCACACUGGGACUGAGACACGGCCCAGACUCCUACGGGAGGCAGCAGUAGGGAAUCUUCCGCAAUGGACGAAAGUCUGACGGAGCAACGCCGCGUGAGUGAUGAAGGUUUUCGGAUCGUAAAGCUCUGUUGCCAGGGAAGAACGCUUACGAGAGUAACUGCUCGUAAGGUGACGGUACCUGAGAAGAAAGCCCCGGCUAACUACGUGCCAGCAGCCGCGGUAAUACGUAGGGGGCAAGCGUUGUCCGGAAUUAUUGGGCGUAAAGCGCGCGCAGGCGGCCUUGUAAGUCUGUCGUUUAAACUCGGAGCUCAACUUCGAGUCGCGAUGGAAACUGCAAAGCUUGAGUGCAGAAGAGGAAAGUGGAAUUCCACGUGUAGCGGUGAAAUGCG
rnacentral:rRNA from 1 species